rnacentral:rRNA from 1 species
CUACGGGUGGCUGCAGUGGGGAAUAUUGGACAAUGGGCGAAAGCCUGAUCCAGCCAUGCCGCGUGUGUGAAGAAGGCCUUCGGGUUGUAAAGCACUUUCAGUGGGGAAGAAAGCCUUGGGGCUAAUACCCUCGAGGAAGGACAUCACCCACAGAAGAAGCACCGGCUAACUCCGUGCCAGCAGCCGCGGUAAUACGGAGGGUGCGAGCGUUAAUCGGAAUUACUGGGCGUAAAGCGCGCGUAGGCGGUCUGAUAAGCCGGUUGUGAAAGCCCCGGGCUCAACCUGGGAACGGCAUCCGGAACUGUCAGGCUAGAGUGCAGGAGAGGAAGGUAGAAUUCCCGGUGUAGCGGUGAAAUGCGUAGAGAGCGGGAGGAAUACCAGUGGCGAAGGCGGCCUUCUGGACUGACACUGACGCUGAGGUGCGAAAGCGUGGGUAGCAAACAGGAUUAGAUACCCGGGUAGUC